rnacentral:rRNA from 1 species
GACGAACGCGGGCGGCGUGCUUAAUACAUGCAAGUAGAACGCUGAAGGAGGAGCUUGCUUCUCUGGAUGAGUUGCGAACGGGUGAGUAACGCGUAGGUAACCUGCCUGGUAGCGGGGGAUAACUAUUGGAAACGAUAGCUAAUACCGCAUAAGAGUAGAUGUUGCAUGACAUUUGCUUAAAAGGUGCAAUUGCAUCACUACCAGAUGGACCUGCGUUGUAUUAGCUAGUUGGUGAGGUAACGGCUCACCAAGGCAACGAUACAUAGCCGACCUGAGAGGGUGAUCGGCCACACUGGGACUGAGACACGGCCCAGACUCCUACGGGAGGCAGCAGUAGGGAAUCUUCGGCAAUGGACGGAAGUCUGACCGAGCAACGCCGCGUGAGUGAAGAAGGUUUUCGGAUCGUAAAGCUCUGUUGUAAGAGAAGAACGAGUGUGAGAGUGGAAAGUUCACACUGUGACG